AGCGAACGCUGGCGGCAGGCUUAACACAUGCAAGUCGAGCGGGCACUUUCGGGUGUCAGCGGCGGACGGGUGCGUAACGCGUGGGAACGUGCCCUCUGGUUCGGAAUAACUCAGGGAAACUUGAGCUAAUACCGGAUACGCCCUUUUGGGGAAAGGCUUGCUGCCGGAGGAUCGGCCCGCGUCUGAUUAGCUAGUUGGUGAGGUAACGGCUCACCAAGGCGACGAUCAGUAGCUGGUCUGAGAGGAUGAUCAGCCACACUGGGACUGAGACACGGCCCAGACUCCUACGGGAGGCAGCAGUGGGGAAUAUUGGACAAUGGGCGCAAGCCUGAUCCAGCCAUGCCGCGUGAGUGAUGAAGGCCUUAGGGUUGUAAAGCUCUUUUAUCCGGGACGAUAAUGACGGUACCGGAGGAAUAAGCCCGGGCUAACUUCGUG
rnacentral:rRNA from 1 species